GAACCAAUCCUUAUCAACACAAGAUGAUUAAACACCUUAAUCUCCUCGCAUUCGUCGAAUAUGCCAUCAUCGCCAUUGUUUUUACAGCCAUAACUGUUAGCUCUGAUGAUGCAGUACCAAUACCAGAGGCUGAAGCUGAAGUAAACGCUUGGUUUGAAGCUAAUGUCAAGCCAUUGGCAGACCGUAAGGGCACUUUAGAUGGGAACCUUGAAGCAGCUGAAGCUACUCCCAAAACUAUUAAGGUGAGCGCAGAUGGAAGUGGAGAGUUCAAGACUAUAACAGAUGCUGUUAAGAGCAUUCCAGCCAAAAACACACAACGCGUGAUUGUGGAUAUUGGACCUGGAACUUAUACCGAGAAAAUUACCGUUGAAAAAGAAAAGGGCUUUGUUUCAUUUAUCGGAGUACCUGAGAAGACAAUCAUAGAAUUUGCUGGCACUGCUCAUGAAUAUGGAACUGUGUAUAGCGCCACAUUACAAGUGGAGUCUGAUUUCUUCGUGGGAAGCGGUUAAGUUAUCAAGGACCAUUAACAACGCUUUAGAACUUCCGUUAUUUCUGCUUUUCAUUUCUGUCACGUUUUAACAAUUUAUGGACUUACUAUUGCAUUAGAAUACUGCACCUCCGCCUGAUGGAGUAAGACCUGGAGCCCAAGCAGUUGCUUUCAGAAUUGGUGGAAAUAUGGCAAGUUUUUACAAUUGCAGAUUUAUUGGAUUUCAAGAUACAAUAUGUGAUGACAAAGGGUUUCACUUUUUUAAAGACUGUUACAUUGAAGGCACCGUUGAUUUCAUCUUUGGGAGCGGAAAGUCUAUUUAUCUGGUAAUAAAACUUCCAUUAAAACUCAACAUAUAUUGGAUUUUGUUUAUAUGCACAUAGUAUCUUUAUUUCUUGAAUAUCACCAUCAAUAUAUAUUCCAUGCAGAAUACCCAGUUAGAGGUUAUACAAGAUAAGGACAUGACAGUGAUUGUUGCACAAGCAAGAGGAAAUGCUGAAGAGACUGGCUUUUCAUUUGUUCAUUGUAGCAUAACUGGAAAAGCAAAAGGAGCAUUCCUAGGCCGAGCAUGGAUGCCAGCUCCUAAGGCGAUAUUUGCAUAUAGUACCAUAAGUGAUGUUAUCUGUCCCGAAGGAUGGUCUAACAAUCAACAUCCUGAACGAGAGCCGUAAGAAAUUUUUAACUAAUAUUUGUAAACUCAAUGACUAAUAUAUAACACUCAUUUUGCAUAUUUCAAUAAUUUUCUGUGGGCUUUGCAGAGAGAUCUUCUUUGGAGAAUAUAAAAAUACAGGACCUGGCGCAGCUAUUGAGGGACGUGUUAAAUUUGCCAAGCAACUAACUGAAGCCGAAGUAAAACCUUUCAUUUCUCUCAGUUAUAUUGAAGGUUCUAAAUGGCUGCUUCCUCCUCCCAAAUUGUGAGGAGGUUAUUUGUUGCAAGAAAUAUAUAAAUUUGAGAGCAAUGAUGUUUAGGGUACACGAAGUCAUACUUGCCUGGGGUGAAUAAACUAGGUUAUUAUCAUAAACCUAAUGUAAUUUCUUUUCAGAAUAAUAAUUUUAUAAUUAUCAUAUCUUAUUAUUAUAAAUAUUUUUAUUUUUAGUUAUUUUAAUAGUUUUUCUUCCACAAUUGUCGAUGAAUGUAUGUUUCUCAUGGUUAUAUUUAUUUUCUCUUGAUAAAAAAGGAGAUUUGAUAUUUGUUAAAAGAAUGGUUAAAUACAAUUCAUUUAAAAUUUUUCACUUUAUUCAUUGACAAUGCUAUCCAUACAUUUUAUUUUUUUCAAUAUAUCCUAUCUCUCUAUUUUUUUACUUUAUUAUAUUAUUUUAAUAUUUAUAGUAAAAUUAAAAUUUAAUAAAUAUCUAAAAUUAAGAGAUGAAGCCAUAAAUUUUAUCCCAGCUCGUAUAUUUAAGUAUUUGUAUUAUUUAUUUAAUUUAUUUGUUAACUUAUGUAGUCAUAUUUAAAAAAAAUACAACUCAAAAAUAAAAUAUUCUAAACUAAUGUAGUAGACCAAUUAAUUUUUGUACAAAAUAAAAUAAUCACUAAAAAAAUUAAUUCUUUCCAACUUAUAUUGAUGCCUCCAAAUUAUAUAUUUUUUUCUUGUAUUUAAGUAUUACCUCAAGUCUCAUGUAAUUUUUUAAAAAGACCAAAUAUGGACAUGAGAUAAAAAUAGGACAAAUAAUUUCAAAAAUGGAAAUAUUAACAAAACAUGUUAAUCCAUAUAUAUUUCGAUGUGUUGAAAAUAAUUUAAAGGUUUAUAUAUAUCUUAUGGAAUAAUUUUAGUCCAUUUGGCCUUCAAUACUAAAGUAUUUUAUACUCAUUAAAAUUAUUAGAUACUGGUAUGAAUACAAACUGAAUAAAUGCAACUUAAAUAUGUGUAUUUUAAGUCAAUUUGUAUUUUAAGUCAACUUAAAUAGUAUCAUAGUUGUGGGUUUGCUUUCGCAAGAACCCACGUCUCUACACCAUCCACAAUAGUAAUUUUGAAUAGCUCCAUUAAAACACAUUCGUGAGAGAGAAGGAAAAAAAAUAUUUUAAUGAUAAGUUUCCUAUUACCAACUCUCAUGUUUAAGUUUUAUUUACACUUACACUAAUUCAACACGUUGCAAAAGCUUUUUUCAAUUUUUAAAAUAAAUACGUUUUUGCUUCCGCUGGAUUACUUUUGCUCAACCAAAUUUAUUAUGAUUGAUAUUAUAAAUUCAUAUACUAGAUUUGUUAAUUUUCUAAUACAUUGUUUUUCCUUGAACAUAAACAAUAAUUUCUAUUGUACCAAUUUAAGCAAAAUUACUCCCUCUAACUUAACAAUUGACGAUUGAUUUAUGAAGAGUUAUGGCAGAAUUGAAUUCGGAGAAAAGUGGUCGGAAAAAACAAUAAAUAUGUAUUAAUAGGACCAAAUUUUGAAGAGAUCCAUUCGUGAAAGGAGAGGAAAAAAAAAAAAUUUAAUAUCAAGUUUCCUGAUACCAAUUCUGAUGUUUGAGUUUUAUUUACACUUACACUAAUUCAAGAUAUAGCAAAAGGCUUUUUCGUUUUUUAAAAUAAAUACGCUUUUGCUUUCGCUAGAUUACUUUUGCUAAACCUAAUUUAUUAUGAUUGAUAUUACAAAUUUAUAUACUAGAUUUGUUAAUUUUCUAUUACACGGUUCUUCCCUGAACAUCAAAAAUAGUUUCCACUGUACAAAUUUAGGCAAAAUUACUCCCUCUAACUUAACAAUUGAAGAUUGAUUUAUGAAGAGUUAUGGCAGAAGUGAGUUUGGAGAAAGUGGUCGGAAAAAAUAAUAAAUAUGUAUUAGUAGGACCACAUUUUUAUAUCUAUAACUCAUUUUUUAAGUUAUUAAAAUAGUUAACACUGAAAAGUUUAGGUAAAAUAGUUAAGUUUUAAAUGUAUUUUACAUUGUUUUUUAGUAUGCAAAAAAAAUAUUACUUGUAUUUAUUUUGAAUUACAAAAUAACUAAAGAAAUAAAAAAUAAAAUUAACACAAGCCACAAAUUUCAAACAAGAUAAACGAGAAACACUCCCAUUAUUGCAAAAGAAAGCAAGAGAAUGCGAUAAACUUUCUAAAUCUCAAUUGUAUUCAGACUUCUUCCUCUUCAGUGUUAUAUAAAUUGCCACAUUCAUAACAAAAAAGAAACAUAUCAAGAAACUAAAAAUCUAUACAAGAUGAUUAAACACCUUAGUCUCCUCGCAUUCGUCGAAUAGGCAAUCAUCGCCAUUGUUUUUACAGACAUAAAUGUUAGCUCUGAUGAUGCAGCACCAAUGCCAGAGGCUGAAGCUGAAGUAAACGCUUGGUUUGAAGCUAAUGUCAAGCCAUUGGCAGAUCGUAAGGGCACUUUAAAUGCUGACCUUGAAGCAGCUGAAGCUACUCCCAAAACUAUUACGGUGAGAGCAGACGGAAGUGGAGAGUUCAAGACUAUAACAGAUGCUGUUAAGAGCAUUCCAGCCAAAAAUGCACAACGCGUGAUUGUGGAUAUUGGACCUGGAACCUAUACCGAGAAAAUUACCGUUGAAAAAGAUAAGCCCUUUGUUUCGUUUGUCGGAGUACCUGAGAAGACAAUCAUAGAAUUUGCUGGCACUGCUCAUGAAUAUGGAACUGUGUAUAGCGCAACAUUACAAGUUGAGUCUGAUUUCUUCGUGGGAAGCGGUUUAGUUAUCAAGGUCCAUUUACAAUGCUUUUGCUUUUCUUCCGUUAUUUAUGCUUUUCAUUUCUGUCACAUUUUAACAAUUUAUGGAUUUACUAUCGCAUUAGAAUACUGCACCUGCGCCUGAUGGAAAAAGACCUGGAGCCCAAGCAGUUGCUUUCAGAAUUGCUGGAAGUAUGUCAAGUUUUUACAAUUGCAGAUUUAUUGGAUUUCAAGAUACAAUAUGCGAUGACAAAGGAUUUCACUUUUUUAAAGACUGUUACGUUGAAGGCACCGUUGAUUUCAUUUUUGGGAGCGGAAAGUCUAUUUAUCUGGUAAUAAAACUUCCAUUAGAACUCAACAUAUAUUGGAUUUGUUUAUAUGCACAUGAUAUCUUUAUUUAUGAAUAUCAACAUCAACAUCAACAUAUAUUCUAUGCAGAAUACCCAGUUAGAGGUGCUGCAAGAUAAGGAAAUGACAGUGAUUGUUGCACAAGCAAGAGGAAACGCUGAAGAUACUGGCUUUUCAUUUGUUCAUUGUAGCGUAGCUGGGAAAGCAAAAGGAGCAUACCUAGGCCGAGCAUGGAUGCCAGCUCCUAAGGCGGUAUUUGCAUAUAGUACCAUAAGUGAGGUUAUCUGUCCCGAAGGAUGGUCUAAUAAUGAACAUCCUGAAAGAGAGCCGUAAGAAAUUUUUAACUAAUCUCUUUAAACUCAUAAAAUGACUUAUCUAUAAUACUCAUUUUGCAUAUUUCAAUAAGGUUCUGUGCACUUUGCAGAGAGAUCUUCUUUGGAGAAUUUAAGAAUUCAGGACCAGGCGCAGCUGCUGAUGGACGUGUUAAAUUUGCCAAGCAACUGACUGAAGCAGAAGUAAAACCUUUCAUUUCUCUUAGGAUGCCAGCUCCUAAGGCGAUAUUUGCAUAUAGUACCAUAAGCGAGGUUAUAUGUCCCGAAGGAUGGUCUAAUAAUGAACAUCCUGAAAGAGAGCCGUAAGAAAUUUUAGCUAAUCUCUUUAAUCUCAUAAAAUGACUUAUCUAUAAUACUCAUUUUGCAUAUUUCUAUAAGGUUCUGUGAAUUUUGCAGAGAGAUCUUCUUUGGAGAAUUUAAGAAUUCAGGACCAGGUGCAGCUCCUGAUGGACGUGCUAAAUUUGCCAAGCAAUUAACUGAAGCAGAAGUAAAACCUUUCAUUUCUCUUAUUUAUAUUGAAGGUUCUAAAUGGCUGCUUCCUCCUCCCAAAUUGUGAGGACUAUAUUUAUAGCAGGAAGUAUAUGAAUUUGAGCGCAAUGAUGUUUAGGCGUACAUGGCCAUCUACGCCGGAAGAAUCCCUUGUUAUUUUGGAAGGCCUAUCUUAUGGUUUUGGCAUCUUAGUUACCACUUGUAAAUAAGCCAGAUUAGAGUAAUAUAUCUGGUUCUGCAAUUUUCCCAACAAUGAUUUUGCAAUUAUCUCAUUUAUUAGUUUCAUGUAAUUUUUAGUCAUUUUAUAAUUAUUAGCCCAUAAAUACAUGUUUUCUCCCCCAUUGACUUCAAUUUUCCAUUUGAUACAAACCAUAAAUUUUCUUUCUAAAUACUGAUUAAUAAAUAGAAUAUUCAGAAUAAAGAGUGUCUGCGUGUAAUUAUGGAUAUACUAACUAAAUAAGGAAUGAAAACUAACUAAUUAGGAGCCAAUCAGGUGGUGGUCUGGUUGGUCUUCUCUCUUAUGUGAGGAGUGGGAGGCUGCCCUGUGUUGUAUAGUCCAUAGUAUUAUUUCGGUCUAUAAAAGUCUCUAAUGAAUUUAAAAAACUAACUAAUUAGGAAAAAAAAAAAGAUUUUUUAACUAAAAAGGAAAGAUAAAAUCUAACUACAUAAGAAAAUAUCAUUGCCUUAACUAAAUAGGGACAAAGAUACAUAAUAUAUAAGAACAAUAAAUAAAAUUUUAAAAUAAUAUCCUAAGAAAUAAACAAUAAUGCUAUAUAAGAAUUUCAUCCAAAUAAGUUGUGUUAACUGUUAGGUACACAUACACAUGAAAUUUGUAGCUUUGUAGUGUUGCACUCUAGCUAUGACAAUCUUGAUGCAAUAUAAAUUAAAUCUUUCAUAUUUUAUUCAUAGAAAUUUUUGAGGUCGGAUGGCAUUUAAAUAAUGGAAUGUAUACAUCUCAUGAAUUUGCUAGAUUCUUUCAAUUAAUAGAGAAAAAAAAUGAAGUAUGCUACAUGGAAUUAAUAGAUUUCGAGGUAUCCCCAAUUACAUUAAUUUAGAAGAGAGAAAAAUAUCAUCUCAAUGCUGGAAUUUUCUCAAUUCUAUCAUUAUUAAUCAUUUAAUUUUUUUUCCAAAAAUAUCUUUUAAAUUCAUGGAUUAUAUUUUUUCAUUUAAAUAAUGGAAUAUGAAAUUCCAUUGAUUUUACAAUUCAUAAAUUUUAUAUUUCGUGAAUUUGGUAAAUUUUAUGACCAAAUUUCAUCAAUUUAAAUUAUCUCCUUGAGACUAAAAAAGUGUGAAGUAAGACAGAUGUUAAAAGUUUUAACAAUGAUUGUACAUUUGUUUUUUUUUUUUUUUUUUUUUUCUUGAAAACAUUGUACAUUUGUUGUUAAUCUCUUGCAAGUUCCAUGUGAAUUGAAGAUUUUUUUUUUUUUUUUUAAAGUUUCCGAAUGCUAUAAAUAAUAGAAAUUCAUUGUUCAAGAUCAGUACUACAAAUUAGCACAUUCAUUAAAGUUUUAAGAACCAAACUUUAUGAAAUUCAAACAUGACUAUAUUAAAUUCUAGAAUAUAAAAACUAUGAAGACCUCCUCGACCGUAAGAUUCAGAAUCUGACAGAAUUAAAAAUAUAUUCAUGCAGAAGAUGACAAAAAAUGAAUUUUUUAGAAAUUAUUUCGGUAUUUUUUUUUAGUGUACUUUAAGAUCUGGUUAAAGCUCCACUGAUGAAAAUAAAAAUUUUUUAAAAAUUAUUUCUACUUUAUUUCUUUUUUCCUUUAGCUUUAAAGUCUGGAUUUUUUUCUUACAAAAUCAAGAUAUAGUUGAAGAAUAAUAAUUUCUUUGUCAGGUAAAAAGAAAAAAUUGCAACACAUAAUUUUGAUGUAUGCCACACGGCGGAUUUAUGUUCACGACAAAGUUUCUUUAUAUAUAUAGAAAUAAAAGCAGAGCAGUUUGCAAUAUAUAAAGCAAAGCAUAAGUCUAUGAAAUUAUCAAAUGUGAGGAGAAUAACAAUUAUUUAGGACAAUUAUAGUUGGACAAUAAUUAUUUAGGGUAGUUGUAAGAACAUGAGUUAUUUUAUAUUUUCCAAAAGGUUGGAUGAAUUAUUAAAAAUUAAAAUUAAAAUUAAAAUUAAAUAAAAAAUUAAAAAGAGAUACAGUAGGGACCAACAACCACUGUAAUAUAUACUUACAACUUUUUAUUUUUAUUUUUUAUUUUUCAUUUUUCCCACUCAAUUACGCAUCAUGAUUAAAGUUAGGGUUUCGAAACACAGAUUGCGGAAGAUCAGUAAGCAUUUAUCAGGAUUCUGUUAUUCAUGAUUUAUUUUAUAUGGCUGUUUGGCUCUAAAGAAAACCCUGUAAAAAAACCAUAUCAGUUUCCUUUUGUUUGCGGCAAUUAUAAAGUCUAAGUUUUUCUGUUAGCUUUUAUAUGUUUGUUGUGUGUUCAUAAUGAAUGUGAGAUUCUUUUUUGUUAUCUAAUUUGACAUAACGCACUCAAACAGGAAUUAGUUUGCUUUUUAUUUAAAUGUCCUUUUCUUGGUUUAAUAUUAUUUAGAUAUUGGAAGUCCAAGCAAACUCCAGUAUAACUCCAAGCUUGAAAUCCCUUCAUGAAACCCACAUCAAGUUCUUUUUAAUCUAUUCCAAAAAUCUGUCCAUGAGUAGUUAUCCAGUGCUCAAUUUGCACUUGAAACAACAAAGAUUUUUUUUUUUUUUUUUCCACUCCCCAAGUACCUGUUUAUAAAGCCUAAUUCUCCAAAUAAAUAUCUUUCACUUCUAGCUUUCAUAUCAACCCAAAACCAGGUUUCUACAGGUGAAGAAGACAUUCAGUUUACUUAAAAUAUACAUGUGAUGAUGUGUUGCAGUUUUUGGUUUUGCAUACUAAAGACUCUUUUCAUUAAGCUGCUUCUCCUCUAGGAUGUCAAAUUGGCCAUUCCCAUCUAAUAUGGACGUUCAAACGUAAUAUAAUCUAAAUGACUCUUCUUCAUAUUUAGAAAGGGCAGCUUUUAUUCCUGUAAACCGAGGCAUAAAUUAUUAGUUUCACUAACUGGACUGCGUUAGAGUUUAGGCAGUUUUUGCUCUAUACACUCUCAUGUGUUUGCGUUAGAGUUUUUAUUUGCAUCAAUAUUUUUUCCUAAUGGUUCAUCUUUGAUUUCAGGGAGAUCGUAUCCAUGCACUGAUUAGUAAAAAUAUUAUUCGUUUAUUCAAAUCAAAGAUACACGAGUUUAGAUUAUAUUUCAUGAAGAACUUUAUAAUUGCACCAAAUAAUUAUAUAGAAAAUCGUUUCACAUAUAUUUUCUAUGAGUUGCUACUAUUGAUUUUAUAGGAAAAUAACCGAGUUUGGCUCAUUGUGGUUAAUGCCGUACUUUUUUUCCUAAGUAUUAUUAUUUGAUGCAGUUUAUACCAUGCAUGAUUUUUGUUAUGCAUACCCUAGUAAAAGGCUUCACAUGAUACUUAAGAAUCUCUCAAUAAAAUAAAAUUUUGUAAUGCAUUUCAAUGAGAUACUUUAUUAUACAAUUUUAUUAUUUUUCAAUGCUGUUAUAAAAGAUAAUUUCAUCAUUCAAUAUUGCUUCGUGCAUCACGCAAGUUCUUACAUGAAUAAUAUAUAAAAGUAAUGUAGUUUGCCUUAUAUGGUGUAAGUAGCACAAUUUGCCAUUUGACAUUAUUUUGAAUUAUAGAGUGACAGAUGUUAGAAUUUUAAUACAAUCUGCCACUUGGCGGUGUUUUGAAUUAUAAAAUGACAAAUAUUAGAAUUCUAACACAAAUUAGCAUAAUUGUAAGAAUUGUAAGAAUUGUAAGGAGAUCAGUUAUUUUAUAUUUUCAGAUGAUUCCUUUAUCAACAUAAUAUCUAUAAAAAAAAUUAUCUUUAGCAUUCAAUAUAUUAAUAUAAAUUUAUUUCUUUUUACAAAAUAAUUAAUAAGUAAUCCACACACAUAAAAAAAUUGUGAAUAAACAAUAUAUUACUAUUAAAUAAACAAUAUAUAAACAAUUUAAAAAAUAUAAAUUGUAAUGUACUGAAUACGAUAAUUUUUUUUUAAAAAAAUAUGACAUUCACACGCUUAGAACACAUACAUUCAAUAAGUAAUAUAUUAAUAUUUCAAAUAAAUAAAUAGUCACUUAUAAUAAAUUAUAAAUAAAUUUAAAAAGUUAAUUUCUUAUUUCAAUCAUACAAUUCUAAUUUUGAAGAGCUCCAUUCGUGAAAUGAGAGGAAAAAAAUAUUUAAUAUCAAGUUUCCCAAUACCAAUUCUGAUGUUUGAGUUUUAUUUACACUUACACUAUUUCAAGAUAUAGCAAAAGCCUUUUUCGAUUUUUAAAAUAAAUACGCUUUUGCUUUCGCUAGAUUACUUUUGCUAAACCAAAUUUAUUAUGAUUGAUAUUAUAAAUUUAUAAAUUAGAUAUGUCAAUUUUCUAUUACACAGUUCUUCCUUGAACAUCAAAAAUAGUUUACACUGUAUCAAUUUAGACAAAAUUACUCCCUCUUACUCAACAAUUGACAAUUGAUUUAUGAAGAGUUAUGGCAGAAUUGCGUUUGGAGAAAGUGAUCGGAAAAAAACAAUAAAUAUGUAUUAGUAGGUCCAAAUUUUUACAAUCAUAACUCAUUUUUUAAGUUAUUAAAACAGCAGCACCGAACAGUUUAGGUAAAAUAGUAAAGUUUUAAAUGCAUUUUACAUUUUUUUUUUUUUGUGCAAAAAAAAAAAAAAAUCUUGUAUUUAUUUUGAAUUACAAAAUAAAUAAAUAAAAAAAAAAUAGAAGUGACACAAGCCACAAAUUUCAAACAAGAUACACGAGAAUCACUCCCAUUACUGCAGAAGAAAGCAAGAGAAUGCGAUAAACUUUCUAAAUCUCAAUUGUAUUAAGACUUCUUCCUCUUCAGUGUUAUAUAAAUUGCGAAUUCAUAAUAAAAAAGAAGCAAGAAACAUAUCAAGAAACUAAAAAUCUAUACAAGCUGAUUAAACGCCUUAGUCUCCUCGCAUUCGUCGUAUAUGCCAUCAUCGCCAUUGUUUUUACAGCAAUAACUGUUAGCUCUGAUGAUGCAGCACCAAUACCAGAGGCUGAAGCUGAAGUAAACGCUUGGUUUGAAGCAAAUGUCAAGCCACUGGCAGACCGUAAGGGCACUUUAAAUGCUGACCUUGAAGCGGCUGAAGCUACUCCCAAAACUAUUAAGGUGAGAGCAGACGGAAGUGGAGAGUUCAAGACUAUAACAGAUGCUGUUAAGAGCAUUCCAGCCAAAAAUGCACAACGCGUGAUUGUGGAUAGUGGACCUGGAACCUAUACCGAGAAAAUUACCGUUGAAAAAGAUAAGCCCUUUGUUUCGUUUGUCGGAGUACCUGAGAAGACAAUCAUAGAAUUUGCUGGCACUGCUCAUGAAUUUGGAACUGUGUAUAGCGCAACAUUACAAGUGGAGUCUGAUUUCUUUGUGGGAAGCGGUUUAGUUAUCAAG
rnacentral:lncRNA from 1 species